rnacentral:rRNA from 1 species
UGCGCUAAUACCGUAUACGCUCUUGCGAGGAAAGAUUUAUCGCCUUUAGACGGGCCCGCGUCGGAUUAGCUAGUUGGUAAGGUAACGGCUUACCAAGGCGACGAUCCGUAGCUGAUCUGAGAGGAUGAUCAGCCACACUGGGACUGAGACACGGCCCAGACUCCUACGGGAGGCAGCAGUGGGGAAUCUUGGACAAUGGGCGCAAGCCUGAUCCAGCCAUGCCGCGUGAGUGAAGAAGGCCUUCGGGUUGUAAAGCUCUUUUGUCAGGGACGAUAAUGACGGUACCUGAAGAAUAAGCCCCGGCAAACUUCGUGCCAGCAGCCGCGGUAAUACGAAGGGGGCUAGCGUUGUUCGGAAUUACUGGGCGUAAAGCGCACGUAGGCUGACAUUUAAGUCAGGGGUGAAAUCCCGAGGCUCAACCUCGGAACUGCCCUUGAUACUGGGUGUCUCGAGUCCGGAAGAGGUUAGUGGAAUUCCCAGUGUAGAGGUGAAAUUCGUAGAUAUUGGGAAGAACACCAGUGGCGAAGGCGG